rnacentral:rRNA from 1 species
UACUCCUACGGGAGGCAGCAGUGGGGAAUAUUGGACAAUGGGCGCAAGCCUGAUCCAGCCAUGCCGCAUGAGUGAUGAAGGCCCUAGGGUUGUAAAGCUCUUUCACCGGUGAAGAUAAUGACGGUAACCGGAGAAGAAGCCCCGGCUAACUUCGUG